AAGUAAUAUUUUAGUUAUUGAUAAUUAACUUACCAAAAAUUACU
rnacentral:tRNA from 1 species